rnacentral:rRNA from 1 species
GUCGAGAAUCUUUCACAAUGGGGGCAACCCUGAUGGAGCGACGCCGCGUGGAGGAUAAGGUCUUCGGAUUGUAAACUCCUGUCAUGCGUGAACAAGGUUGCUUGGUUAAUACCUGGGCAAAUUGAUGGUAACGCAAGAGGAAGAGACGGCUAACUCUGUGCCAGCAGCCGCGGUAAUACAGAGGUCUCAAGCGUUGUUCGGAAUCACUGGGCGUAAAGGGUGCGUAGGUGGCGUGGUAAGUCAGAUGUGAAAGCCCGGGGCUCAACCUCGGAACUGCAUCCGAUACUGCCAUGCUAGAGUACUGGAGAGGUGAGUAGAAUUCUCGGUGUAGCAGUGAAAUGCGUAGAUAUCGAGAGGAAUACCAAAGGCGUAGGCAGGUCACUGGACAGUUACUGACACUGAGGCACGAAGGCCAGGGGAGCGAACGGGAUUAGAUACCCUUGUAGUCC